AGCAAUCUCAGAAACCCUCAGGGGCAGUUCUCCCCUGUCCUGUAGACAGAACAGACUGAUGGCAGUGAGAUGCCAGAUCUACAUUUUAACUAGACCCACCCCCGGUGAGGUAGUUCCUGGGUCACAAGUUGGAUCCUGGUGAUUGAAGGCUUCUGGUGAGAUUGUGUACUGCAGGCAGGCAUUCCAGAAGUCCCUUUUGUGGGGCAAGCAUUUUGGCAACCUGGCUGCACCAAGACUUCUGCAGUGGGACCCACAGCAUGUACAGGGAGUGCCAGGACUGAGCACCACAGUGCCGCCACUCAGUGCCACCUCACCAUGAGUGCUUGGCACUGUACCUCCACCCACUCCAUCCAGAACAUGAAGGUGGAAGCAAUCUCAGUCAUUGUGCCAUCAAGCAGUUCCAGGCUCCAGAAUAAAAUUCUGGCUGCCCCAUGGGGCCCUACAUUGUGGCUGGCACAAGCACCUUCUAGCCCCUCUCCCACCCCAGACCCACCCAAGAAGUGCUUCAGGAACUAGAGCAUGAGACAAAUCCUGCUCCGUGUGAUUCUCACGGAGGUGAUUCCAACAGCUAAUCUCCACCCCUAAGGUAUAAAUUGUUGCUCAGGAAUAUCUGCCUAUGGGGUGCCUGCCAUGAGCUGUUGCUGGCAGGAGGCUUGAGUUUAUGUGUCUCUAUGAGGAGUUGCUGCUGGAGGGCUGCCAACGUGGGUACAAGUGUGACGCCUGUCCUGUCCGAGCGAGGACAGGCUCUUCCCUUUUCUGCAGUGCCCAUCGUCUCCACGCCGGUCGCAUUUGGGCUGCACGGACAGGUGACCACCAACAGCACCGGCAACAGUUUUGGGAGAAGUCAGCCCUCCUGCAGGUCACAGGUACAAGAACUCUCAUCUGUUUGUCUGGGGCACAGCCUGACUGGCUGAUUGAGACACAAGCAGGCUGAGCAACAGAUCGCACGUGGUGAAAGUGAGGCUGGAGACUGGGGCAGAACUCCGAGCAGGGCGUUUUACAGAGUAUAAUGGCCACACACGGAGCGCCUCACACCCAAGUCCUCAGCAUGUGCCAGACAUCAUCCCAAGUGACUUCAUCUCACCACAAGAGCAGCCUCCCAGUGCAGGUGCAGGAAGACCAGAAUGUCACCUGCAGCUAGGGGGGAACCACCUCCCAAAGGCCAGGUGCCUGUGCUCGGUGUGUCUACCCUACCCCUUGAUAAACGAGGGCUUUCUCGCUGCUGUGGACGUCAACGCAGAAUGUUUGUGAAACCGCAUGGCCGGGGCCACAGGCAGGCCUACACCAUGUGA